rnacentral:rRNA from 1 species
GACGAACGCUGGCGGCGUGCUUAACACAUGCAAGUCGAACGGAAAGGCCCUGCUUUUGUGGGGUGCUCGAGUGGCGAACGGGUGAGUAACACGUGAGUAACCUGCCCUUGACUUUGGGAUAACUUCAGGAAACUGGGGCUAAUACCGGAUAGGAGCUCCUGCUGCAUGGUGGGGGUUGGAAAGUUUCGGCGGUUGGGGAUGGACUCGCGGCUUAUCAGCUUGUUGGUGGGGUAGUGGCUUACCAAGGCUUUGACGGGUAGCCGGCCUGAGAGGGUGACCGGCCACAUUAGGACUGAGAUACGGCUCAGACUCCUACGGGAGGCAGCAGUGGGGAAUAUUGCACAAUGGGCGGAAGCCUGAGGCAGCAACGCCGCGUGCGGGAUGACGGCCUUCGGGUUAUAAACCGCUUUCGCCUGUGACGAAGCGUGAGUGACGGUAAUGGGUAAAGAAGCACCGGCUAACUACGUG